AGGUGCGAUUGUAGCAGCACUAAUGCACCGUAUCCUAUAAGAAGUGUGUAGUUAAGCAUGCUUAGACGAGAGUAGUACUAGGAUGGGUGACCUCCUUGGAAGUCUUCGUGUUGCACCUC
rnacentral:rRNA from 2 species